rnacentral:rRNA from 1 species
AUUAGACGAAUCAUCUGGAAAGAUGAAUCAAAGAAGGUAAUAAUCCUGUAGUCGAAAAUGUUGUCUCUCUUGAGUGGAUCCUGAGUACGACGGAGCACGUGAAAUUCCGUCGGAAUCUGGGAGGACCAUCUCCUAAGGCUAAAUACUCUCUAGUGACCGAUAGUGAACCAGUACCGUGAGGGAAAGGUGAAAAGCACCCCGGAAGGGGAGUGAAAUAGAACCUGAAACCGUGUGCUUACAAGUAGUCAGAGCCCGUUAAUGGGUGAUGGCGUGCCUUUUGUAGAAUGAACCGGCGAGUUACGAUUUGAUGCAAGGUUAAGCAGUAAAUGUGGAGCCGUAGCGAAAGCGAGUCUGAAUAGGGCGUUUAGUAUUUGGUCGUAGACCCGAAACCAGGUGAUCUACCCUUGGUCAGGUUGAAGUUCAGGUAACACUGAAUGGAGGACCGAACCGACUUACGUUGAAAAGUGAGCGGAUGAACUGAGGGUAGCGGAGAAAUUCCAAUCGAACCUGGAGAUAGCUGGUUCUCUCCGAAAUAGCUUUAGGGCUAGCCUCAAGUGAUGAUUAUUGGAGGUAGAGCACUGUUUGGACGAGGGGCCCCUCUCGGGUUACCGAAUUCAGACAAACUCCGAAUGCCAAUUAAUUUAACUUGGGAGUCAGAACAUGGGUGAUAAGGUCCGUGUUCGAAAGGGAAACAGCCCAGACCACCAGCUAAGGUCCCAAAAUAUAUGUUAAGUGGAAAAGGAUGUGGCGUUGCCCAGACAACUAGGAUGUUGGCUUAGAAGCAGCCAUCAUUUAAAGAGUGCGUAAUAGCUCACUAGUCGAGUGACACUGCGCCGAAAAUGUACCGGGGCUAAACAUAUUACCGAAGCUGUGGAUUGUCCUUUGGACAAUGGUAGGAGAGCGUUCUAAGGGCGUUGAAGCAUGAUCGUAAGGACAUGUGGAGCGCUUAGAAGUGAGAAUGCCGGUGUGAGUAGCGAAAGACGGGUGAGAAUCCCGUCCACCGAUUGACUAAGGUUUCCAGAGGAAGGCUCGUCCGCUCUGGGUUAGUCGGGUCCUAAGCUGAGGCCGACAGGCGUAGGCGAUGGAUAACAGGUUGAUAUUCCUGUACCACCUAUAAUCGUUUUAAUCGAUGGGGGGACGCAGUAGGAUAGGCGAAGCGUGCGAUUGGAUUGCACGUCUAAGCAGUAAGGCUGAGUAUUAGGCAAAUCCGGUACUCGUUAAGGCUGAGCUGUGAUGGGGAGAAGACAUUGUGUCUUCGAGUCGUUGAUUUCACACUGCCGAGAAAAGCCUCUAGAUAGAAAAUAGGUGCCCGUACCGCAAACCGACACAGGUAGUCAAGAUGAGAAUUCUAAGGUGAGCGAGCGAACUCUCGUUAAGGAACUCGGCAAAAUGACCCCGUAACUUCGGGAGAAGGGGUGCUCUUUAGGGUUAACGCCCAGAAGAGCCGCAGUGAAUAGGCCCAAGCGACUGUUUAUCAAAAACACAGGUCUCUGCUAAACCGUAAGGUGAUGUAUAGGGGCUGACGCCUGCCCGGUGCUGGAAGGUUAAGAGGAGUGGUUAGCUUCUGCGAAGCUACGAAUCGAAGCCCCAGUAAACGGCGGCCGUAACUAUAACGGUCCUAAGGUAGCGAAAUUCCUUGUCGGGUAAGUUCCGACCCGCACGAAAGGCGUAACGAUUUGGGCACUGUCUCAACGAGAGACUCGGUGAAAUCAUAGUACCUGUGAAGAUGCAGGUUACCCGCGACAGGACGGAAAGACCCCGUGGAGCUUUACUGUAGCCUGAUAUUGAAAUUCGGCACAGCUUGUACAGGAUAGGUAGGAGCCUUUGAAACGUGAGCGCUAGCUUACGUGGAGGCGCUGGUGGGAUACUACCCUAGCUGUGUUGGCUUUCUAACCCGCACCACUUA